rnacentral:rRNA from 1 species
GACGAACGCUGGCGGCGUGCUUAACACAUGCAAGUCGAACGGAAAGGCCCUGCUUAUGUGGGGUGCUCGAGUGGCGAACGGGUGAGUAACCCGUGAGUAACCUGCCACUGACUUUGGGAUAACUUCAGGCAACUGGGGCUCAUACCGGAUAGGAGCUCCUGCUGCAUGGUGGGGGUUGGAAAGUUUCGGCGGUUGGGGAUGGAAUCGCGGCGUAUCAGCUUGUUGGUGGGGUAGUGGCUUACCAAGGCCUUGACGGGUAGCCGGCCUGCGAGGGUGACCGGCCACAUUGGGACUGAGAUACGGCCCAGACUCCUACGGGAGGCAGCAGUGGGGAAUAUUGCACAAUGGGCGGAAGCCUGAUGCAGCAACGCCGCGUGCGGGAUGACGGCCUUCGGGUUGUAAUCCGCUUUCGCCUGUGACGAAGCGUGAGUGACGGUAAUGGGUAAAGAAGCACCGGCUAACUACGUG